AUUGAACGCUGGCGGCAGGCCUAACACAUGCAAGUCGAACGGUAGCACAGAGAGCUUGCUCUCGGGUGACGAGUGGCGGACGGGUGAGUAACGUCUGGGAAACUGCCCGAUGGAGGGGGAUAACUACUGGAAACGGUAGCUAAUACCGCAUAACGUCGCAAGACCAAAGUGGGGGACCUACGGGCCCCACACCAUCGGAUGUGCCCAGAUGGGAUUAGCUAGUAGGUGGGGUAAUGGCUCACCUAGGCGACGAUCCCUAGCUGGCCUGAGAGGAUGACCAGCCACACUGGAACUGAGACACGGUCCAGACUCCUACGGGAGGCAGCAGUGGGGAAUAUUGCACAAUGGGCGCAAGCCUGAUGCAGCCAUGCCGCGUGUAUGAAGAAGGCCUUCGGGUUGUAAAGUACUUUCAGCGGGGAGGAAGGCGGUGAAGUUAAUAGCUUCACCGAUUGACGUUACCCGCAGAAGAAGCACCGGCUAACUCCGUGCCAGCCGCCGCCGUAA
rnacentral:rRNA from 1 species